rnacentral:lncRNA from 1 species
AUAGGUAUCUGUUAUAAGAAGAUUUAUAGGGAGAAUGAUUAGCUGAAAAAUACAUGCCUGACAAGUAGACGUUGCUGUCAGCUAGAGCCGUCAGCCAGAGUCAUCUGUUCAUACUUGCGAGACCAGAGCAUCUCAGUUGGAAUGCAAGUCGUGGGAUUCCUCAACUCGACAAAAUUUGGUAUGCUCGGUGAAUCGAACACAGACCGUUGAAAUGGUUGUUACGUCUAGCAACAUCAAAAACACUGAGCUCAUACUCUCCUCCUUCCCUCAGUAGAUUCUCGAAACUGUUAAGCCGGUGUGAGGCAAUGGAGCCUUGAAUCAAGGUUGACUGCAAGCAAAAACAGUGUAGCUAUUAUGAAAGUCGAAGUAGGUUAUCCUAAAUAAGCAAGUAGACAUACACAGCAAGUUUUUAGUAGCUUCUGGUCCAACAACACCAUGUCAACUCCAAUAAGCUUGCCUCCUUUCUUCAGAUUCGAGCUUCCCAGAAUUGAAGCAGAGGGACACCCAAACCUCCUUACAACGGCCAGCCUUCAGAUCAGAAAGUUUGACUUUGGUAAAUCUCCAUUACAGCUUGACUUUGGCACCAUGAGUCUCAUACUCUCAGUAAAUCAAAGGACGAUAUAUAUAUAUACAAUAUCUAAGCUUAACGGAGAACCCAAAGAAUCACCAUUCAAUAACACGUAGUGAGGCUAAUUGAUUUGGAGGAAUUAUAAACGUUAGUAACGCCGUCGAGAAAAAGAGGAGGUAGCAGAAGAGACGACGGAUUGCGAAUCUACUGAUCUCCACCUUCACCUCUAGGCCCAUUUAAGUUUUGUAAAAAUGGGUCUUUGUGUAACUUACUUUUGGGCUAAUGGAUUUGGUUAAGUAAAUGAAGUUGCUGGUCCAAACCGUAUCAGCGAAACAUAAUAAAUUUGAGAUGCCACGUGUCAGCGAUUGCUCCUCCCUCCAUGCUGACGUGGCGCAAAGAGAAAGGAGCAAAGCCUACUUUAUUGGUAUAGAUAAAUUAUCGUGAGACAUUUACGUACAAAGACACAUUAUGUCUUUCUCUUACCUUGAGAGACACAUUCUGUGGUUGGGACACGUCCAUACAGCUGUCCUUUUGUGGACGGAUUUACCUCUGCUUUAGGUGAAAAGGUAAGUUUGUUCCUUUUAAAGAAGAAACUACAUGGUCAAUUGGAUUUGGUGACACAGUAACUAACUUAUAUUAGAUAUUGGUUUGAGUGAUUACAUGAAUGUAACUUAGUUUAUGGUUUGACCGAUGAGUUGCAAUUUUUUGUAUUUUUCUUAAUAUAUUUUUAUUAGUUUUAUAAGUUCACCUCUCGUUCAAACAUAGCUAUUAAGCUCCUGGAGCGUGACUGACUCAAGUUUCUUAAGACCACAAUACUUGGAACCAGCCUCACCUCCACAAAAAACCUGCAUCACUUAUGGUUAAUGUGAGAUUUGAGUGCUGAAUAAGCUGAAAAAGGUUGAAAUAACAAUUAUAUUUAGAAGUAAUUUACUCUUUUAAAAGUUCAUGUGUGGCUAGGCUUUCAUUGUAGAAUAAACAACCUGCAUUAAGACAAUAGGCUAGCAUGAAAAUUGGUACUUACUAUAAAAUAGUCACAUAAACAAAGUAGAAGUGUUACCACCAACAAAUUUGGGAUUUAUGUUUGUUGCAACCAUUGGGUAGGCUUCACACCCAAGAGUUCGAACUUGUCAUGGAGGAGAUUUACGACCUUGUCAAACACAGUAACACAAACAGUGGUUGACCUGCAGAGCUAUUUGAGGUUUUUCCGAAACAAACAGAGUUCAAGGCAACCCCAAACAUAAAUAACUUCAGACAAAAUAGUAACGUACAUGUACAUUUAAAUUGUCAACAUAACAUGCUGAAUGGUCUGAUUUCGUCACUGUAGAUGGUGCUGAUACUCCUAUCUCCCCAUAAAUAUCUGAGAAAUUACUUUUGUUACUUCAAGUGGGAUAGGUAUCUGUUAUAAGAAGAUUUAUAGGGAGAAUGAUUAGCUGAAAAAUACAUGCCUGACAAGUAGACGUUGCUGUCAGCUAGAGCCGUCAGCCAGAGUCAUCUGUUCAUACUUGCGAGACCAGAGCAUCUCAGUUGGAAUGCAAGUCGUGGGAUUCCUCAACUCGACAAAAUUUGGUAUGCUCGGUGAAUCGAACACAGACCGUUGAAAUGGUUGUUACGUCUAGCAACAUCAAAAACACUGAGCUCAUACACUCCUCCUUCCCUCAGUAGAUUCUCGAAACUGUUAAGCCGGUGUGAGGCAAUGGAGCCUUGAAUCAAGGUUGACUGCAAGCAAAAACAGUGUAGCUAUUAUGAAAGUCGAAGUAGGUUAUCCUAAAUAAGCAAGUAGACAUACACAGCAAGUUUUUAGUAGCUUCUGGUCCAACAACACCAUGUCAACUCCAAUAAGCUUGCCUCCUUUCUUCAGAUUCGAGCUUCCCAGAAUUGAAGCAGAGGGACACCCAAACCUCCUUACAACGGCCAGCCUUCAGAUCAGAAAGUUUGACUUUGGUAAAUCUCCAUUACAGCUUGACUUUGGCAAGGUAUAGUGUGAGACAGAACAAAACAAAAACCAUGAGUCUCAGACUCUCUGUAAAUCAAAGGACGAUAUAUAUAUAUAUAUAAAAUAUCUAAGCUUAACGA